rnacentral:pre_miRNA from 1 species
AAUAUAUGACGCCGUUGACUUUUAGUCCAACAUUUGACCAUUCGUCUUAUUCAAAAAAAUUACGUAAUUAUUAUUUAUUUUAUUGUGACUUGAUUCAUCAUCAAAUGUUCUUUAAGCAUGACAUAAAUAUUUUCAUAUUUUCACAUAAAUUUUGAAUAAAACGAAUGAUCAAACGUUGGUCAAAAAUUCAACGACG